UGCGGUGUGGCCUAACUGGUAAGGCACCUCCCUGUUAAGGAGUUGCAUGCAGGUUCGAAUCCUGCCUCCGCAG
rnacentral:tRNA from 1 species